GGGGAAUUUUCCGCAAUGGGCGAAAGCCUGACGGAGCAAUGCCGCGUGGAGGAGGAAGGCCCGAGGGUUGUAAACUCCUUUUCUCAGAAAAGAAGAUCUGACGGUAUCUGAGGAAUAAGCAUCGGCUAACUCCGUGCCAGCAGCCGCGGUAAGACGGAGGAUGCAAGCGUUAUCCGGAAUGAUUGGGCGUAAAGCGUCUGUAGGUGGUUUAUUAAGUCUGCUGUUAAAGCACAGGGCUCAACCCUGUAUAGGCGGUAGAAACUGGUAGGCUUGAGUAUGGUAGGGGUAGAGGGAAUUCCCGAUGUAGUGGUGGAAUGCGUNGAUAUCGGGAAGAACACCAAAGGCGAAAGCACUCUGCUGGGCCAAUACUGACACUAAGAGACGAAAACUACGGGAGCAAAUGGGNNNAGAUACCCCAGUAGUC
rnacentral:rRNA from 1 species